CUGCUGCGGAGGUGCUGCAUGGCUGUCGUCAGCUCGUGUCGUGAGAUGUUGGGUUAAGUCNCGCAACGAGCGCAACCCUUAUCNCUAGUUGCCAUCGGGUCAAGCCGGGCACUCUAGUGAAACUGCCUCAGAUAAUGAGGAGGAAGGUGGGGAUGACGUCAAGUCCUCAUGGCCUUUAUGUCCAGGGCUACACACGUGCUACAAUGGCCGGUACAAACCGUCGCAAACCCGCGAGGGGGAGCUAAUCGGAAAAAGCCGGCCUCAGUUCGGAUUGGAGUCUGCAACUCGACUCCAUGAAGCUGGAAUCGCUAGUAAUCGCGGAUCAGAACGCCGCGGUGAAUACGUUCCCGGGCCUUGUACACACCGCCCGUCACAUCACGAAAGUGGGCCGUACUAGAAGUCGGUGUGCUGACCGCAAGGAGGCAGCCGCCCAAGGUACAGCUCAUGAUUGGGGUG
rnacentral:rRNA from 1 species